rnacentral:rRNA from 1 species
UCCGGGGAGGGUCAUUGGAAACUAUUUUACUUGAGUGCAGAAGAGGAGAGUGGAAUUCCAUGUGUAGCGGUGAAAUGCGCAGAGAUAUGGAGGAACACCAGUGGCGAAGGCGGCUCUCUGGUCUGUAACUGACGCUGAGGUGCGAAAGCGGGGGGAUCAAACAGGAUUAGAUACCCUGGUAGUCCACGCCGUAAACGAUGAGUGAUAAGUGUUGGGGGGUUUCCGCCCCUCAGUGCUGCAGCUAACGCAUUAAGCACUCCGCCUGGGGAGUACGACCGCAAGGUUGAAACUCAAAGGAAUUGACGGGGACCCGCACAAGCGGUGGAGCAUGUGGUUUAAUUUGAAGCAACGCGAAGAACCUUACCAAAUCUUGACAUCCUAAUGAUCGCCAUAGAGAUAUGGUUUCCCUUUUGGGCAGAGAGACAGGUGGUGCAUGGUGUCUU